ACGCUCGACACCUACGUGAGGCAGCAGUGGGGAAUAUUGCACAAUGGGGGAAACCCUGAUGCAGCGACGCCGCGUGAAGGAAGAAGUAUUUCGGUAUGUAAACUUCUAUCAGCAGGGAAGAAACUGACGGUACCUGACUAAGAAGCACCGGCUAAAUACGUGCCAGCAGCCGCGGUAAUCUGAGCGGGCUGGCAAGGC
rnacentral:rRNA from 1 species